CAGCAGUAGCCGCGGGAACACGGAGGAUCCAAGCGUUAUCCGGAAUCAUUGGGUUUAAAGGGUCCGUAGGCGGUCUUGUAAGUCAGUGGUGAAAGCCCAUCGCUCAACGGUGGAACGGCCAUUGAUACUGCAGGACUUGAAUUAUUGGGAAGUAACUAGAAUAUGUAGUGUAGCGGUGAAAUGCUUAGAGAUUACAUGGAAUACCAAUUGCGAAGGCAGGUUACUACCAAUUGAUUGACGCUGAUGGACGAAAGCGUGGGUAGCGAACAGGAUUAGAGACCCCCGUAGUCCCUGUCUCUUAUAC
rnacentral:rRNA from 1 species